AACGCACCUUGCGCUCCUUGGUAUUCCGAGGAGCAUGCCUGUUUGAGUGUCAUUUAAUUCUCAACCAUCCCUCGAUUCGUUUCGAGGGUUUGGCUUGGAUUUUGGGGGCUGCCGGGCGACCCUAGGGUCUUCGGCUCUCCUUAAAAGCAUUAGCGAUGGCGGCGCGAUCUAACCCCCCCCAUGCAUGAACGGCCUUCGACGUGAUAAUGAUCGUCGUGGCUGGAGUGUUGUUAGUGGGUGUCGUGAAAGUCGGCGCUUCUAAAGACCUCGUCGAAAGACGAAAACUCGAAACUUGACCUCAAAUCAGGUAGGACUACCCGCUGAACUUAA
rnacentral:misc_RNA from 1 species